UUUCCGUAGGUGAACCAGCGGAGGGAUCAUUAAAGGAAGCGCCGCCACGAGGUUUAUAUCUAUUGAGAACCUCUUCGUCAGGGUUGCAUCAGACGCAACGCGAACGGGAACCGUUUCCUCACACGCGGCCAAGUCCCAGCGCAUUAAUUUGAUAACAAACGUUGAAAACAACUCUCAGCUACGGCUCUCUUGGCUCUCGCAUCGAAGAAGAAAGCAGCAGAACGGAAGAACAAACGUCUGCAUUCUUCUCACGCGGAUCAAGCUCGUAUGCCGUCG
rnacentral:misc_RNA from 1 species